rnacentral:lncRNA from 1 species
AGAGAAGGCUUUAUGGCAGAUGAACACGUGAGCUGACUUAAAAUUUGAUAACCUUUGAAUAAUUAUUCACCAUUUCUCAGGCAAAGAAAGAUUUGAAGGUUGGCAUGAACAUGAUUGUGUAGAGAUCAGUGAAGGGGUAGCUUAUACCUCACAGAAGCCUUUGAAUACCAAGUCCUUAUAUGCUAUAGCUACUCAGCAAGAAUGGCCAUGUAUAACUUCUUCACAUAAUAAGAGCUUAAUUUGUGUGGUAUGGCUGACAGCAUGAUGAUACUAUGGGUGUUAUAAAACGAACAACCUUGUCAUCCAGGGAAGAACUGUGAUAGUGUUGCUUUGAGAAAAAUAAAAGUUCAUGUACAAUGCCCAUCAAGUGAUAUAUUAUCUGAGAGAAGUUAGAAAAAGCCAUGAAACAUACGAGAGAGUAUUCUGUCAUCUAAGUACUAAACUAUACACACACAAACACCCCUGAAAUGAAAUAAGACCAAAGUAAAAUAGGC